rnacentral:rRNA from 1 species
AUCAUUAACGAGUUAGGGUCUCUCUGGCCCGACCUCCCAACCCUUUGUCUACUUGACCAUCGUUGCUUCGGCGAGCCCGUCCUCACGGACCGCCGGAGGGAUCUUUACUGGCCCUCUGGUCCGCGCUCGUCGGUAGCCCAACCUUUAAAAUCUUUAACUAAACGUGCCUUAAUCUAAGUACAAUUAUUAAAUAAAAGCAAAACUUUCAACAACGGAUCUCUUGGUUCUGGCAUCGAUGAAGAACGCAGCGAAAUGCGAUAAGUAAUGCGAAUUGCAGAAUUCCAGUGAGUCAUCGAAUCUUUGAACGCACAUUGCGCCCUUUGGUAUUCCGAAGGGCAUGCCUGUUCGAGCGUCAUUAUCACCCCUCAAGCCCUCGGCUUGGUGUUGGACGGUUUGGUGGAGGCCCCCUCGGGGGUUCCUGCCCCUCCCAAAGACAAUGACGGCGGCCUCGUUGGACCCCCGGUACACUGAGUUCUUCACGGGACACGUAUCGGACACAUGGGUUUACGGGACACGGUCUGCCUCCCCUCAGGGAGAAUCUUUCUAAGGUUGACC